rfam:Gossypium hirsutum cultivar TM-1 chromosome 7, whole genome shotgun sequence
AAAUCAUGAUAUGGACACUUGCGUAACAUCAACUUCAAGUGCUCCCAUGCUUCAUAUAAUGACUCUCCUUCUAAUUGUAGAAAAUUCAUAAUAUAUAUUCGAAGUUU